rnacentral:rRNA from 1 species
UACGUAGGGUGCGAGCGUUAUCCGGAAUUAUUGGGCGUAAAGAGCUCGUAGGCGGUUUGUCACGUCUGCUGUGAAAACUGGAGGCUCAACCUCGAACUUGCGGUGGGUACGGGCAGACUAGAGUGUGGUAGGGGAGACUGGAAUUCCUGGUGUAGCGGUGAAAUGCGCAGAUAUCAGGAGGAACACCGAUGGCGAAGGCAGGUCUCUGGGCCACUACUGACGUGAGAAGCGAAAGCAUGGGGAGCGAACAGG